UGAUAAGGAGCACCCUCUCCACAUGAUGACUGCAAUGUGAUGAGGAGCACCCUCUCCAUGCUGAUGACUGCAGUGUGAUGAGGAGCACCCUCUCCAUGCUGAUGACUGCAAUGUGAUGAGGAGCACCCUUUCCAUGCUGAUGACUGCAGUGUGAUGAGGAGCCCGCUCUCCACAUGAUGACUGCAAUGUGAUAAGGAGCACCCUCUCCACAUGAUGACUGCAAUGUGAUAAGGAGCACCCUCUCCACGCUGAUGACUGCAAUGGGAUGAGGAGCACCCUCUCCAUGCUGAUGACUGCAGUGUGAUGAGGAGCCCGCUCUCCACAUGAUGACUGCAAUGUGAUAAGGAGCACCCUCUCCACAUGAUGACUGCAAUGUGAUGAGGAGCACCCUCUCCACGCUGAUGACUGCAGUGUGAUGAGAAGCACCCUCUCCAUGCUGAUGACUGCAGUGUGAUGAGGAGCCCGCUCUCCACAUGAUGACUGCAAUGUGAUAAGGAGCACCCUCUCCACAUGAUGACUGCAAUGUGAUAAGGAGCACCCUCUCCACGCUGAUGACUGCAAUGGGAUGAGGAGCACCCUCUCCACGUUGGUGAUGACAAGCAGCAGGCAUGGCCCAGGAUUUUCCGGAGGAUGCAGAAUGCCACAAUUCUGCAGUCAUGGUGCUGGAGAGGACCCAGGUAUGGACCGAGACCUGCAGGAUGGAACCGUGCAGACAGCCCACAAUGCACUGUGUCCGUUGCCCUGCUCAGAGGUCCAGCCAGGAGGACGGGAGCAGAUGAUGGAAUCCUGGGUGGCAGGAAUUCUGCAAAGACACUGCCCCUCGAAGGCAUUCCUAGUAAGGGGGCAGGAGUUGAAAACCUGCCAAGGCCGAUGAAGACAGAGUCCUUCUGUCUACCCAGGCCAUGUCGGACCCCUCUUCUCUGGGCACAUGUCUGCCUUACUCUUAGCAGACAUAAGGCUUCUUAAUGUGUUUGCCAUGAGUCUUAGAAUAAAAGUGAUGUUUGUGAAAGAC